rnacentral:rRNA from 1 species
UCACCAAUGGCGGGACGGGGUAGGCUAGGGGAACCCAGGCGAUGGUCGUCCUGGGGUAACCGCGUAGGGCGAGUGAUAGGGAAAUCCGUCACUCAUAUAGCCUGAGACGGGAUGCCGAGUCCGCAUGGACGAAGUCCUUGAAGCCAUGCCUCCUAGAAAAGCGUCUAGGGAGGUUGCGCGUGCCCGUACCAAAACCGACACAGGUAGGCAGGUAGAGAAUACCAAGGCGAUCGGAAGAACCCUCGUUAAGGAACUCGGCAAAAUGGCCCCGUAACUUCGGGAGAAGGGGCGCCCCAGUAGAGUGACAUUCCUUCGCGGAAUCGAGCUCGAGGGGGCCGCAGUGAAACGGCCCAAGCGACUGUUUACCAAAAACACAGGUCUCUGCGAAGUCGUAAGACGACGUAUAGGGGCUGACGCCUGCCCGGUGCUGGAAGGUCACGAGGAGAGGUUAGCCUUCGGGCGAAGCUUUGAAUCCAAGCCCCAGUAAACGGCGGCGGUAACUAUAACCGUCCUAAGGUAGCGAAAUUCCUUGUCGGGUAAGUUCCGACCUGCACGAAUGGCGUAACGACUUGGGCGCUGUCUCAACGAGGGAUCCGGUGAAAUUGUAGUCUCGGUGAAGAUGCCGAGUACCCGUGGCUGGACGGAAAGACCCCGUGAACCUUUACUACAGCUUUGCGUUGAAGUUUGGUGUUCGUUGUCCAGGAUAGGUGGGAGACUUUGAAGCGGGGGCGUCAGCCCUCGUGGAGUCAACCUUGGGAUACCACCCUAUGGAUUCUGGGCUUCUAACCCGAUGCCGUGAUCCGGGUCGGGAACAGCGUGAGGUGGGUAGUUUGACUGGGGCGGUCGCCUCCUAAAAUGUAACGGAGGCGCGCAAAGGUUCCCUCAGCACGGUUGGAAAUCGUGCGUAGAGCGUAAUGGCAUAAGGGAGCUUGACUGCGAGACUGACAAGUCGAGCAGGGACGAAAGUCGGCCAUAGUGAUCCGGCGGUAGAGAGUGGAAUCGCCGUCGCUCAACGGAUAAAAGGUACUCCGGGGAUAACAGGCUUAUCCUCCCCAAGAGUCCACAUCGACGGGAGGGUUUGGCACCUCGAUGUCGGCUCGUCGCAUCCUGGGGCUGAAGCAGGUCCCAAGGGUUGGGCUGUUCGCCCAUUAAAGCGGUACGCGAGCUGGGUUCAGAACGUCGUGAGACAGUUCGGUCCCUAUCCGCCAUGGACGCUGGGAACUUGAGAGGAGUCGUCUCUAGUACGAGAGGACCGAGAUGAACAGACCUCUGGUGUAUCAGUUGUCGUGCCAACGGCACUGCUGACUAGCUACGUCUGGACGGGAUAACCGCUGAAAGCAUCUAAGCGGGAAGCCCACCUCAAGAUGAGGUUCCCCAUCACUUCGAGUGAGUAAGGGCCGUGGUAGACCACCACGUUGAUAGGCGGGCGGUGUAAGCACAGCAAUGUGUUCAGCUGACCCGUACUAAUUGCCCGAGGUCUC